CCUGCAUGUGGGAGUCGCCGCCCUAUUAGACGCGGCCAAUCACUUUCAAUUUGACCCACUAGAGAGCAGCGCCUCGGAUAUUGCGGCCGGCGACGGCGAGGACGAACCUCAACAAAACCCUCGCAUCGGCCACGUUCAAUGCUGCCAAUGAGGACACUGCAGGGCAAUGAAGACGCAGCUCGAGUCGGUGGGCUGCACAGAGCUUGACCGUGUGCACGGUCUUCCCUCAUGGAAGACCGUCCGGAAGACCGCCCUCAUGGAAGGCCCCGGAAAUCCACAGGUGGUACAGAUACACCGCAUACCGUCAAUUUGCACGGCGGGUGUGGCAUCGGCUGGGACAGGGCAACAGGAAGGUGCUGCCCAGCUGUUUCGUUGCUGUGAGGGACGCCUUCCCAUCUGAGGUGUAUGCAGGAUUUAAAUAUCCGGAUUAUUUAAAAAAUGUAAACAAAA